GUAUCGCAACAUCGGGAUUCCUAAUCCUCUAUGAUUUCGCUAAUGUGCUCUCCAGGAAAAAGAGGGGAAAGAAUCCGAUCCGAUCCCUCAACCCGCCGACGGAACCAUCUCUCGUCGGGCCUCUUCCCGAAUUCUUCUUCCAUGUAUCGAGGGAAUUGGAAUUGGACAUUAUAAUAUUGUCUGAUUAUCACAGGCUGCCAGAGCACAAAUUUGAUAAAAAAAGAUGAGUGAUGACAGCAUGCCUGAUGAAUCAGAUGUGGCGUAAAUGGACCCACGAGUGUACAUGCAUAUUCUUCAAAUAUCUUGUGCUGCAGAGGAUCAGUAGUGAAACUUCCCAUGUUAGACCCAAGAGCUGGACAUCGUCCAACUAUUGUUUAUAGGCCCAUACGGCCAUCUGAUCUUGAAGUUCUUGAGCAGAUCCAUGCUGCUUUAUUUCCUGUAAGGUAUGAGAGAGAAUUCUUUUUCAAUGUGGUCAAUGGCCACGGCAUUAUCUCAUGGGCUGCUGUUGACAUCAGCAGGCCUGAUGGUCGAAAUGAUGAACUAAUUGGAUUUGUCACUAUGCGUAUUAUGCCAGCAAAAGAAAGCGAGAUAGAGCAUUUGCUCAGGUACAAUGCUUCCAGAAAUGAUCAAAUACUAGUUUAUAUAUUGACACUUGGUGUAGUAGAGCGUUAUAGAAAUCUUGGCAUAGCUACUUCACUGGUUCAGGAGGUAAUUAAAUAUUCUUCAAGCAUUCCUAACUGCAGAGCAGUAUAUUUGCAUGUUAUUGCUUACAACCAGCCAGCCAUCAAUUUCUAUAAGAAGAUGCUAUUUAAGCUUGUAAGAAGAUUGCCAAAGUUCUACUACAUUCAGGGCCAGCAUUAUGACUCAUAUUUGUUUGUGUACUACGUAAAUGGGGGUCAAUCUCCCUGCUCUCCACUUACCCUCCCCUUCACUUGGGCUGAAACCCAGGUCCUCAGGCAGACUGAACCUAACAUUCAUGGAACCAGGGCACUGAGUAAUAGGGAUCCAGGAGGGUCAACAUUCUUCGGAAUUGAACCCCUGCCCCCUUGCCUUAUGUGGCAAAGGGUGAUACCAUCCAAACUAAAGUUCAGUGGUAUUAAGUUGUCUAUCUUAACUCUGUCAUCCCUUGACUCUGGAAAUCCUCUUCUCCAACCUGAUUUGCAAUAUGCGGAUAUUGAUGAGUCCAUAUUCUUCUGAGAAACAAGCUUCCUACAUAAGUCACAGUAAACCCCAAAUUUCUUGCCUUCUUCUGAUACUUAAUGCAUAAGGAAUUAGGUUUUGAUUCAGAGAAAUUAUGGCAGCAGUGGCAGCAUACUUUAGGGGUUUCUUUAGAAUGCUAUCUGCGAAACUGUGGAGGAAUGGUGAAAAGAAUCUCCCAAGAUGGUCCAAGUGUAAAGAAACAAGCUCUCUUUUAGUUACUCAAAAUAAGAGGUUCCUUGGUCCGGAGAAUGCUAAAUGUUAGUGUGGUGUAUCAGCCUCAGGCCAAGCUUGCAACUCAUUUGCCCGUCAAGAAGCUUGCGAGUUUUAACUUUUCCAUUGAUUAUAACUGUUGUUGUAUCUUUUCUUUCUAUCCCAGUAAACAAUCACACAUCUGUAAUUACAUUAGUAUCAUAUUUAUUAUCCUCUUACUGUAAAAUAAA